rfam:Rattus norvegicus chromosome X, whole genome shotgun sequence.
GGGGAUUUGGCUCAGUGGUAGAGCGCUUGCCUAGCAAGCGCAAGGCCCUAGGUUCAGUCCCCA